rnacentral:misc_RNA from 1 species
CAUCUAGCCGCACAAUGUCGCAAGCUGAUGCAAUCAGAACUGUACCAACGGCUCUUCUCAACACGCCUUGUGAAGAUUUCCGAGGACGAACUAAGCACUACGCAGGGCGGUUUCCGGAUUUCAACUUCUGUCGGCGCCACUCUCACAGGACUCGGCGGCGAUACAUUGAUCAUCGAUGACCCCAUGAAUGCCAGCGAGGCGUUUUCAGAAACCAGCCGAAAAACUGCAAAUAAUUG